rnacentral:misc_RNA from 1 species
UUAAAAGUCAAUUUCAACAUGAAUCAUAAAAUUAAUUGGGAUUACAUCAUAUUCUGGAGCGGUAUACUGACAGUUUUGGUACUCAGUCAUAAAGCCAAUGGAAUAUUUACAGGUAACACAAAAUUUUGUAACAUUGUGUUUUCAUUGUAAGCACGUAUAGUUUUAAACAUGUGAAUUGGUUGGUUUCUGUUUGCAAACACUUAAAGAGUUAAGAAAGACAAAAUGUUUGCAGACAAAAAAUAUUAAAUAAAUAAAUAAAUAAAAUUGUUAUUGUAACAAUACACAAUUUAAUUGGAUUGUGUAAUACUUAGUUGCGAAAAGUAUAACAGUUGUACGUUAUAAACAUUUUAAUAGAAGCUUGAGAAAAAACAAGUGAGUAUUGAAAUAAAACGCUGGAUGAAUACAUGAUAAUAAAUGUGUAAAUAUAUAUGAUAUUCUUAAGACAUAUUGCUAAUUUCUCAUUAAAAAUGAUGUAAUUUCGUUUAUGAAAAAAUGUUAAGUGUUUAUUUAAGGAUCAUUUUUUUUUCUUUUGUAUUUUGCGAAAAGAACUUGAAACGUAUGUUGACUUUAAAUGACGUUGUCCUUGUGAAUGAAAUCAUUCUUUGAGAACGAUCUUCAUAUAUGUAUUGAUCGAUUAUAACAGCUUUGUUUUCUCCGUGUAUUUAAAUUUUGUAUUUGUCAAACUAAUAACCUAAACCAGUAAAUUUAAUAAAUUUUAUUUUAUCUCUUAUCGCAAAUGCUCUAGUUUAUGUAAAUUUUUACAACAUGUCGCAAUAGUAUAAAAAUUAAAAUUUUCUAAUUUUCAUAAAAUAACGUUGUUCAGCUUCCGUUUAAUUUAUGAAACAUGAGAAAAAUCUAAUCACUAACAACUAUCUUAAAAUUGACUACAAAUUAACUAUUUUGUUAAACAUACACAUGUCUCUAUAUGCAUGUUUAGAUAUUGGCAUAACAAGCAAAAAAUCUAUAUUUUAAUUUUCAAAUAACUCGAAAAACAGAAUGUAAAAAAACUGAAACUAAUUAAAAAUUCAAAAAAUUGUUGUAUUGUAAUUAUCUUAUCUGGUGUUUAAACACUUACACGCCCAGGCCAACAACUUUAGUUUUAUUUAUUUUCAAUAACAUAACAAUUGUCAGAGAAAAAUAAUUUACUUAAUUAACUUUACAUGUUCUAAAUGAAACAAACGAGACCUAGACAGAUAUGCUAGUAUAGCAAAUAAUAAAUUGCAUUUAAAACAAAAAAAGUUUAAACAAAUUAAUUAUUGUUAAUUAAUAAUAACAUACUGAUAGAAAGAGGGCUUCAAAAAGGCGCCAGAACUGAACUGCGUAUUCGUACUAUGUGCACCACUGUGCUUUAAGUGCCCAUCACUGUAUCGAAAACAUGUAUAUUUUCUUCCCUUUAUUGCUGUCAAAAUCUCUCUUCCAAACUUUUCCUAAAAAAUCUCUCAUAAAAAUCAUAAAAACUCUUCUCCUCCUCCCCCUUCUCCUCCUUUACAUUGAAAUACUAAUUUAUUUUAAUUAUUAUUUUAUUAUCAAAUAAGUUUGAUUAAUUACCAAUAAAAAGAGACCGUCAUUUACCGAAAAAAAAUUCUUCUUCGUAUUUUUAAUGAAGUGCUAAAAAGGUUCACAACCAGUAACACUUCUAUUGUUUAAUUUCACGCUAUAAUUUUUAUGACAAAUUUAUUAGAUUGCGUUUUAAAAUCAACGCAAGAGAAGUAAAAAAAAAACAAAUUAAAAAUAUUUAAAAAACCCUUUUUAAUGACUUUGUCAUCAAGAUAAAGACGAAAAUCAAGAUAUUUAUUUAAUGGCUGUAAAAGAUUUUUUUAAAGGUUUUGUCUUAAAGGCGUUGUAAACAUAACUGGUCUUUUAGCUGAGAUAAAGAAUGGUCAAGUUAAUGAGCCAAAUGUUAAAAAGGGAACAUUUUAAUUAAAAAUGCGGCCGUAAAAAAGAAAGAAUUGUAAAUUCUUUUCUAUUCUGUUCUAUAGUCCAGUCUAUAGUCUGUUCUAUAGCCAAGACUAUAGUCUGUUCUAUAGUUCACACUAUAGUCUAUUUUAUAGAUCAGGCCAUAGUCUGUUCCACAGUCCAGUUUAUAGUAUUUUCUAUAGUCCAGAAUAGAUUCCGUUCCAAAGUCCAAACUAAAGUCUGUUGUAUAGUCUAGACUUUAGUCUGUUCUAUAGUACAGACUAUAGUCUAUAGACUAUAGCCUAUAGUCUGUUCCACAGUACAGUCUAUAGCCAGCUUUAUAGUUCAGUCUACAACCUGCUCUACAGUCGAGACUAAAGUCUGUUCUAUAGUCCAGAUUAUAGUCUGUGUUAUAGUCCAGAAUAUAGUCUGUUCUAUAGUCCAGACUAUAGCCUAUUCUAUU